AUUGAACGCUGGCGGCAUGCCUUACACAUGCAAGUCGAACGGUAACAGGUCUUCGGAUGCUGACGAGUGGCGAACGGGUGAGUAAUACAUCGGAACGUGCCUAGUAGUGGGGGAUAACUACUCGAAAGAGUGGCUAAUACCGCAUGAGAUCUACGGAUGAAAGCAGGGGAUCGCAAGACCUUGUGCUACUAGAGCGGCCGAUGGCAGAUUAGGUAGUUGGUGGGAUAAAAGCUUACCAAGCCAACGAUCUGUAGCUGGUCUGGGAGGACGAUCAGCCACACUGGGACUGAGACACGGCCCAGACUCCUACGGGAGGCAGCAGUGGGGAAUUUUGGACAAUGGGCGCAAGCCUGAUCCAGCAAUGCCGCGUGCAGGACGAAGGCCUUCGGGUUGUAAACUGCUUUUGCACGGAACGAAAAGCCCCGGGUUAAUACCCUGGGGUCAUGACGGUACCGUAAGAAUAAGCACCGGCUAACUACGUGCCAGCAGCCGCAGUAA
rnacentral:rRNA from 1 species